rnacentral:lncRNA from 1 species
GACCACUAGGGGUGCUUGGGCUUUGAUCAUAGUGCAAAGAUCUGGCAAUUAAUUAAUAAGAGUAAUUUGUUAAGAUGUUACACUACAAACUUAUAGUCAGUGUGUGUGUGUGUGUGUGUGUGAGUGUGUGUGUGUAUGUACAGUAUUGCUGGAGAUCAACUCUAGGCUGGUUACUAUCUUUAAUUUUACAGAAAACUCCUGUAAUAUAUGUCUAAAUUUUUUGCUUGAAUUAUCCAAUUUUUGAGUAUGUGUUUAUAGUUCAUGUGUUUAUAGCUUUGCUGUAUCAGUCAACUCUAACUGCUAUACCAAAUUACCAUAAAUUGGAUGACUAGACAACAAACAUUUUCGGAAGCUGGAAAUCCAAGAUCAGCAUAACUGAGUCCUGGUGAGGAUCCUCUGGCAUGAUAGCUGUUCUUAUAUUUUCUUUUAAGGGCAUGAAUCCUGUCAUAAGGGGUAUACCUUCAGACCAUAUUACCUUCUAAUAGCCCCACCUCCAAAUACCAUCACAAUGGAAAUUAAGAUUUAAUAUAUGAAUUUUUUUGGUAGGGGCAGAGACAUGCAACACAUAAGAAACACCUAUGAUGAAUUUAUACAUUAUUUUGCUGUAUUUGUAUAAUCUAUUGUUGUUAACUGCAAAUGCUAAGAGAAAUAGAUUUGAUUUCUUCCAACUGUCUCUUCAGGCAAUGACAGCAGAAUUGAUGUUCUCCUGGUUUCCCAGUGCAGAGGUCCAUCAACAAGAGAGAUGGUGUCAGGAUCUUCUAGAGCAUCCUCUGAUUACCUCUGUGACUAGAGGGUGCCUAAGCAAGUCAGAGGUGUAACUGUAUUUUGAAGAAAAUGUCUUCAAAGAUGUGAUUAGAGGCUGGGGAUUUAGCUCAGUGGUUUUGCCACCUGCUGCGCAAGCACAAGGCCCUGAGUUUGAUCCCCGGUACUGCUCCCCCCAAAUAAUAAUAAUAAAGAAGUGAUUGGUUAAAAAUGAGACUCUUACAGGGGGGCCCUAAUUCCAUCUGACUGCUGCCUUUAUAACAAGAGGAGAUUAUGACAGAAAGAGAGAGAGAGGAAAAUGACAGAAUCACCUUGUGAAGAGGCAGUAAGACAGGUAUCUGCUGACAUCAAGAAGAGAGGCCUCAGCAGGUAAACCCAUUGGUAUCUUGACCUUGGAUAUCCAGCUUUCAGAACUGUGAGAAAAUAAUUUUCUGUUGUUUAAGUCACCCACUCUGUGAGCAAACUAAUAAGCUAAAGUCUUUAAUAAUCAGCUUGGCACCCCAAAGAUGAGGGGGUUAUUGGUAAAGGGAUCACAUGCUAACAAGAUGUUCCUGCUUGGGGUCAAUAAAGUCCUGUCCCAUGAAUGUUUCCCCUUAAUCACAAACUUGGAAUUUUGUACUCUUUCCUCCCUCAAUAUGCUAUUUGCUUCUCCAGGGACAGUGACUACUACCUAUGUGUAACCUUCACAUAGUGAGAAUUGUUUGUGACAAUGAUCUAUGGACAUCAAAAUUUGUCUCUGCAAAGAGCUGAAAAGCAAAGUAAAACAAAACGUUCGCUGAGUUUGUGCACCUUACUCCAGAAGAAAAAUUCUGCAUUUCAAAAAGGUUUCCUGCAUCAGGAUUUGUGCUAGCUUCAACAGAAGAUAUACCAAAGUAGAAUAGGGCUUUAAAUUGGUUUCAUGACAAAGGCUAUAAAUUACACUAGGUGACUCAAAUUAUUCAUGAGAGAGAGGAGAUCUUGAUUUAUGCACUGGUUUUGUGUAAAUUUCAUUUUUUGUAAAGUAAAUCACUUUUCCCAUUGACUCCAUAACAAUUUGAGAUAUGCUUUAUCUUCUUUUCUGAGUAAUCUUCAGUUGACAGGCUUUUUACACUUCUCUAGGAGCAUUUAAUGACCUAAAUGCAAACUGUUAAAUGAAGCAAAGCUAUUUACAGAAACUGCAAAGAGCCAUCCACGUAUUCUUCAAGCAACCCUAACAAACAGAGUGCCAACUUUUUAGCAGGGACUGUGGAUUCACAGACAUGGCCCCUGUCUUCAAGGUGCUUACUUUCUUUGGUAGAUUGAAAUUUUAUUUUGAGAAAUAAAUAAGCAGCCUUCACAUGCAAAUGUCCUGUAGUGUGCAUGUGUUAGAUGCUAGAAAUUGAGUUAUGUAACUGUCAAAGAUAAACAAAGUCAGGCACUAUCUAAAAUAAUAAGUACAGAUUUUUGUCAGUAAAUAUUCCGUAAUAGGGAAAGGUGUGCAGCUUGAAUUGAACUCAGCUUCAAGUUUUGCAAAGGUGCCUGGGCAUUUUAAAGGGAGAAGGAGGAAAUAGAGAGGGAUAUGAGUUAGGGCUCUGUAGACUCUGAGAGGUGAAAAAAUACAAAAAGCAGGAAGGGGAGUUGGCCCAUAUGCAACUGGUUUGCUAACUGGAGCCUUUUGUGAUUAGGUCCCUUUCCACCCCUACAGAGACUGGAAUAAAGGAGCUCUAUUUCAACUGUUGUUUGCAAAAAAAUAAUUAUUUUUGGCAC